rnacentral:tRNA from 1 species
GGGGAUUUAGCUCAGUGGCAUAAGUACCUGCCUUGUAAGCAGGUGGAUGUGAGUUCAAUCCCCG